GACGAACGCUGGCGGCGCGCCUAACACAUGCAAGUCGAACGGAGCUAUAUUGAAAGCUUGCUGGAUAUAUAGCUUAGUGGCGGACGGGUGAGUAACACGUGAGCAACCUGCCUUUCAGAGUGGAAUAACGUUUGGCAACGAACGCUAAUACCGCAUAAUGUCAGAGGACGGCAUCGUUCUUUGACCAAAGAUUUAUCUCUGAAAGAUGGGCUCGCGGCCGAUUAGGUAGUUGGUGAGAUAAUAGCCCACCAAGCCGACGAUCGGUAGCCGGACUGAGAGGUUGAACGGCCACAUUGGGACUGAGACACGGCCCAGACUCCUACGGGAGGCAGCAGUGGGGGAUAUUGCACAAUGGACGGAAGUCUGAUGCAGCAACGCCGCGUGGAGGAUGACACAUUUCGGUGUGUAAACUCCUUUUAUAUGAGAAGAUAAUGACGGUAUUAUAUGAAUAAGCACCGGCUAACUCCGUGCCAGCCGCCGCCGUAAAAC
rnacentral:rRNA from 1 species